rnacentral:rRNA from 1 species
UACAGAGGGGGCCAGCGUUAUUCGGAAUUAUUGGGCGUAAAGGGCGCGUAGGCGGCCAUGCGUGUCUUCCGUGAAAUCCCUCCGGCUUAACUGAGGACGUGCGGAAGAAACUGCAAGGCUCGAGUCCGGGAGAGGGGGGUGGAAUUCCCAGUGUAGCGGUGAAAUGCGUAGAUAUUGGGAGGAACACCGGUGGCGAAGGCGGCCCCCUGGACCGGUACUGACGCUGAGG